rnacentral:rRNA from 1 species
AUUGAACGCUGGCGGCAGGCCUAACACAUGCAAGUCGAGCGGAGCGGCGGACGGGUGAGUAAUGCCUAGGAAUCUGCCUGGUAGUGGGGGAUAACGUCCGGAAACGGGCGCUAAUACCGCAUCAUAUCAGAUGAGCCUAGGUCGGAUUAUCUAGGUGGUGGGGUAAAGGCCUACCAAGGCGACGAUCCGUAACUGGUCUGAGAGUAUGAUCAGUCACACUGGAACUGAGACACGGGCCAGACUCCUACGUGGUGCAGCAGUGGGGAAGAGUGGACAAUGGGCGAAAGCCUGAGCCAGCCAUGCCGCGUGGGUGAAGAAGGUCUUCGGAUUGUAAAGCACUUUAAGUUGGGAGGCGUUACCAACAGAAUAAGCACCGGCUAACUUCGUGCCAGCAGCCGCGGUAAUAC